rnacentral:rRNA from 2 species
UUAUGGUGGGCACUCUAAGGAGACUGCCGGUGACAAACCGGAGGAAGGUGGGGAUGACGUCAAGUCAUCAUGGCCCUUACGGCCUGGGCUACACACGUGCUACAAUGGUCGGUACAAAGGGUUGCCAAGCCGCGAGGUGGAGCUAAUCCCAUAAAACCGAUCGUAGUCCGGAUCGCAGUCUGCAACUCGACUGCGUGAAGUCGGAAUCGCUAGUAAUCGUGAAUCAGAAUGUCACGGUGAAUACGUUCCCGGGCCUU